rnacentral:sRNA from 1 species
CAUUCAGACCUGGGAGUAGGCUCUGGAGAAGGGUUGGGUGGUCUUGGGAUGUUUCCAGGUGUGCUCUAUCCUUUUCAGAGACUGCAUGACCUGGUCCUCCCCCUGGUCAUGGGUGUACAGCAGGGUGAGGUCCUAGGCAGCUCCCCGUACACGAGCUCCCGCUGCCGCCGUGAACUCUACUGCCUGCUGCUGGCACUGCUGCUGGCCCCUUCUCCUCGCUGCCCACCUCCUCUUGCCUGUGCCCUGCAAGCCUUCUCCCUCGGCCAGCGAGAAGAUAGCCUUGAGGUCUCCUCUUUCUGCUCAGAAGCACUGGUGACCUGUGCUGCUCUGACCCACCCCCGGGUUCCUCCCCUGCAGCCCAUGGGCCCCACCGGCCCCACACCUGCCCCAGCUCCCCCUCCUGAGGCCCCAUCGCCCUUCAGGGCCCCACCCUUCCAUCCUCCGGGCCCCAUGCCCUCAGCAGGCCCCAUGCCCUCAGCAGGCCCCAUGCCCUCAGCAGGCCCUGUGCCCUCGGCACGCCCUGGACCUCCCACCACAGCCAACCACCUAGGCCUU